GAUUGGUCUUCACCACGCCCACAUUUCUAUUAGGCCUCAUUUGCAUGCAUACGGGAUAUACUUUUCGCGCACUAAGUAAAUGAGCUUGUGCAGUUCUGUGCAUUAUGGAGGCGUCCUCAUCGAAAAGUGUUCGGGAGUCUCGGAUUGUGAGGAUUCCUUCCAGCGUGUCCAGCUAUGUCAGCUGAUGGUGACUGCCUCAGAAAAGAGGCGGAGAGGUGGAGAGCGUGCAGUUCUUUGUGUGGGUGCAUCCAAUAGCAGGACAGCGUCAGUCCCCUGCAUACCUCCCAGGAUUCCGUUUACCUUUCUCAGAGGAAUGUCGACGGGUAAACAUGCGAACAGGACCAUGAAAGAUUGUGUUUUAUCAAUCUGCUACUGCACAUUUGCUUUGUUUGUUACUCUGCUGCCAGUUUAAGCAGUUUUAUUAAGCGUAUGUGCUUCCUGUGCUUGGUUUUACUGCCGCUCUGCUUGGUUUUACUGCUGCUCUGACUGAGAGCGCUCUCCAGGACGCCCCCCUUAAAUAGCGGAGUCUCGGCUGCAGAGCCUCGGGUGCUGUGAAAGGAAGGAGACAUGUGACCUCUGGUGGCGAUUACUGCUUGUGAGGAUUCUUUCCAGCGUGUCCAGCUAUGUCAGCUGAUGGUGCCUGCUUCAGAAAAGAGGUGGAGAGCAUGCAGUGCUUUGUGCGGGUACAUCCAAUAGCAGCGUGGCAGUCCACUGCAUACCGCCCAGGAUUCCGUUUACCUGUCUCUGAGGGACUUACACGAGUAAAGAUGUGAAUAGGAACAUGAAAGAUUGUGUUUUAUCAAUCUGCUGUUGCACAUUUGCUUUGUUUGUUUCUCUGUUGGCAGUUUAAGCAGUUUUAUUAAGCGUAUGUGCUUGGUUUUACUUCUGCCCUGACUGACAGCGCUCUCCAGGACGCACCCCUUAAGUAGCAGAACCUCAGGUACCAUGGACCCUGCGCAAGGAUGACACGCAAAUUUGUGAAGCGGUCCAUAUUUUUGUCCCCUAUGUCGAAGUCAAAGUGUUUUUAUUUGUUAAGUGCACAGUAUAACACAGGUCAUUCUGAGCAAAGAAAUUCUUAUGACAUGGCAGGCAGCAACUACGUAGAAGCAGAGCAAAAAUAUCAAAAAAUAUCUAAAAUAUACAUAAUAUUAAACAUAUUUAAAUAUUAGCAGCAGUACCAGCCUGUACAGAUGGGGGAUAUGGACAGUGAGAAUUGGAGUAUUACAUAUUUAAAUAUUAAACAAAGUGCAGGAGUGCUGAUGAAUAUGUGCAUAAGAUUGUGAUAAUGUACAUUGAACGUACAUAGGAAGUGAAGGAGCAUACAUAGGAGGUCAUGUGAUCCCUGAGAUUAAUGUUGCUGGUUGAGAAGCCUGAUGGCCUGGGGGAAAAAACUGAGUCUGGUCGUCCGUGCCCGGAUGCUCCGGUAGCGUCUACCAGACGGCAGCAGCGAGAACAGACCAUAGCCUGGGUGGCUGAAGUCUUAUGAUUUUCUGUGCUUUCCUAAGGCAUCGUGUGUGGUAGAUGCCUUGCACGGAGGGGAGGUGGCAGCCAAUGAUGCCCUCCGCUCUCUUCACCACCCUCUGGAGGGCUUUGCGGUCAGCAGCGGAGCAGCUGCCAUACCAGGCAGUAAUGCAGCCGGGUCUGACUAACAUUUUUCCAAUGUUUGACUCCGUAUUUUGGUCCUUGUUCCGACUCUGAAUCCUGAUCCUGUAUCCAGGACACAAGAUGGCGGUGCCCUGUUUGAGGUCUAGUAUGUUUCUGUGGCUUUUUCCUCUUUAGAGCUUGUUUUUUUUUCAUGUAAUGAGGGUAAAAUGUUUCCGAAAGGUGGCAGCAAGCAGAAAGGCCAUUCAUAGCAAUUUAGGCCUACGUAGAACUUGGGUAAUGCUGCGAUAUGAUCGGUUUGUGGCAGGUUAGGAAACAAAACUGAACAGACGAUUGUCUGGAUGUACAGGUCUGGCGGUCAGCGUCUGCUUGACCUUUGCUCGUAGUUCCCCUGGGGACAGCGGACGGUUGCCUAAAAAUGCAGAGAUGGCAGAAGCGGGCGGGGCGGGGCGCGGGCCCAGGUUGGGGUGUCUUCCGACGAAGCCACUUGACGUAGCUGAAAGAUUUUAUCAAUCAGUUGCAUUCUCUGCAAAAUUGCAAUAAGAGCGCCUGCUAUAGAAAACAAUAUCUUAUGGCACUUACGUGAUCUUGCUCUUUUCCUCUGACUCGUAGAGGUCCCUCAGCGUGUCCGCUUUGUAUUUUCUGAAGACAACGAGGCCGGGCUGGCUGGCCAGGGACCGCGCUUCCUCCUGCGCUUUGUGGAACCUGACUAACUGCACGAAGUCAGGGUAGACGCAGGCGUAACGGGUGAGAGCGUCCUUGUUGGCCAUCUGAGACCCCUCGGACACGCUGGUCUCCCGCUCCCUCUGGUGCCCAUGCACCAAGUGAAUGGCGUAGCCAGCGGAAGGUCUGACCGUGGUACUUGCCAAACUCCAUGGUGCAUUGCCUCAGCACCAGUCUGGCGUUCCCAUGGUCGCCUCCCGUGGCGAUGACGUGGGCCCGUGCCACCGCCUCCACCUCCUCCGGCUUCCUUGCCCUGAAUGGGGCUCUGCCUCCAGAGGCACCUGGGGCCGAGAGCCUCAGCACCUCUGAAGGUUUCAGGAUGAGACUCCCCGAAAAAAGUCUCCUAAAGAUCGGAUUUUCCCUGAUUGAUGGAAAAGGUGUUAAUUAAUAACUGACCUGGUCAGACCCUGGUACUUUCCAAACUCUGCGGUGCUGUGGCUCAGAAUCAGUUUGGCGUCCCCCGGAGACGAUUGAUGGAAUUAAAGCACGCACUCCCACACUCCCACGAUGAGUUUCUUUACUUGUACACAGGGCAAAAUGUGCUUAUCACAAGGUUCUUAGGCACGGGAAGUUACAGGGAAUAUUUCUGCAAAUGUUUAAUGUCAUUUUGAUUGGUUUGUGGCAGUCGUUCAACUCCCUUGAGCAUUCUUGAAGUUUCCAGAGUUUUCACUAAAGAGUCUAGAAAGGAAAUUUUGUUGAAUUCCCAAUCGAUUUUUGAAGAUUUCUUCAAUUCAAUUUCCAAUUAAAUCCCAGAGCAGGUAUUUAUAGAGUAUUGAAAAGUCACUUAAGUCUGCAUAAAAUGCAGUUUAAAUACAGUUAAAUAGUAUUGGACAUGAUCGGUUUGUGGCAGGUUAGGAAACAAAACUGAACAGACGAUUGUCUGGAUGUACAGGUCUGGCGGUCAGCGUCUGCUUGACCUUUGCCUGUAGUUCCCCUGGAGACAGCGGUCGGUUGCCUAAAAACGCAGAGUUGGCAGAAGCGGGCGGGGCGCGCGGGCCCAGGUUGGGGUGUCUUCCGACGAAGCCACUUGACGUAGCUGAAAGAUUUUAUCAAUCAGUUGCAUUCUCUGCAAAAUUGCAAUAAGAGCGCCUGCUAUAGAGAACAAUAUCUUAUGGCACUUACGUGAUCUUGCUCUUUUCCUCUGACUCGUAGAGGUCCCUCAACGUGUCCGCUUUGUAUUUUCCAAAGCCAACAAGGGUCGCUCCCUCCUGGCCGGGCUGGCUGGCCAGGGACCGCGCUUCCUCCUGCGCUUUGUGGAACCUGACUAACUGCACGAAGUCAGGGUAGAUGCAGGCGUAACGGGUGAGAGCGUCCUUGUUGGCCAUCUGAGACCCCUCGGACACGCUGGUCUCCCGCUCCCUCUGGUGCCGAUGCACCAGGUGAAUGGUGUAGCCCACGUCAUUCCCAGUAGCCAGCGGAAGGUCUGACCCUGGUACUUGCCAAACUCCAUGGUGCAUUGGCUCAGCACCAGUCUGGCGUUCCCAGGGUCGCCUCUCGAGGAGAUGACGUGGACCCGCGCCACCGCCUCCACCUCCUCUGGCUUCCUCGCCCUGAAUGGGGCUCUGCCUCCAGAGGCAUCUGGGGGCCGAGAGCCUCAGCACCUCUGGCGAAGGUUUCAGGAUGAGACUCCCCGAAGGAAGUCUCCUAAAGAUUGGAUUUUCCCUGAUUGAUGGAAAAGGUGUUAAUUAAUAAGUGACCUGGUCAGACCCUGGUACUUUCCAAACUCUGCGGUGCUGUGGCUCAGAAUCAGUUUGGCGUCCCCCGGAGACGAUUGAUGGAAUUAAAGCACGCACUCCCACACUCCCACAAUGAGUUUCUUUACUUGUACACAGGGCAAAAUAUGCUUAUCACAAGGUUCUUAGGCACGGGAAGUUACAGGGAAUAUUUCUGCAAAUGUUUAAUGUCAUUUUGAUUGGUUUGUGGCAGUCGUUCAACUCCCUUGAGCAUUCUUGAAGUUUCCAGAGUUUUCACUAAAGAGUCUAGAAAGGAAAUUUUGUUGAAUUCCCAAUCGAUUUUUGAAGAUUUCUUCAAUUUCCAAUUAAAUCCCAGAGCAGGUAUUUAUACAGAGUAUUGAAAAGUCACUUAAAUCUGCAUAAAAUGCAGUUCAAAUAGUUAAAUAGUAUUGGAUAUGAUCGGUUUGUGGCAGGUUAGGAAACAAAACUGAACAGAAGAUUGUCUGGAUGUACAGGUCUGGCGGUCAGCGUCUGCUUGACCUUUGCCUGUAGUUCCCCUGGAGACAGCGGACGGUUGCCUAAAAACGCAGAGUUGGCAGAAGCGGGCGGGGCGGGGCGGGGUGCGCGGGCCCAGGUUGGGGUAUCUUCCGACGAAGCCACAUGACGUAGCUGAAAGAUUUUAUCAAUCAGUUGCAUUCUCUGCAAAAUUGCAAUAAGAGCGCCUGCUAUAGAGAACAGUAUCUUAUGGCACUUACGUGAUCUUGCUCUUUUCCUCUGACUCGUAGAGGUCCCUCAGCGUGUCCGAUUUGUAUUUUCUGAACCCAACGAGGCCGGGCUGGCUGGCCAGGGUCCGCGCUUCCUCCUGCGCUUUGUGGAACCUGACUAACUCCACGAAGUCAGGGUAGACGCAGGCGUAACGGGUGAGAGCGUCCUUGUUGGCCAUCUGAGGCCCCUCGGACACGCUGGUCUCCCGCUCCCUCUGGUGCUGAUGCACCAAGUGAAUGGCGUAGCCCACGUCAUUCCCAGUAGCCAGCGGAAGGUCUGACCCUGGUACUUGCCGAACUCCAUGGUGCAUUGGCUCAGCACCAGUCUGGCGUUCCCAGGGUCUCUCGAGGAGAUGACGUGGACCCGCGUCACCGCCUCCACCUCCUCUGGCUUCCUCGCCCUGAAUGGGGCUCUGCCUCCAGAGGCACCUGGGGCCGAGAGCCUCAGCACCUCUGAUAAAGGUUUCAGGAUGAGACUCCCCGAAGGAAGUCUCCUAAAGAUCGGAUUUUCCCUGAUUGAUGGAAAAGGUGUUAAUUAAUACCUGACCUGGUCAGACCCUGGUACUUUCCAAACUCUGCGGUGCUGUGGCUCAGAAUCAGUUUGGCGUCCCCCGGAGACGAUUGAUGGAAUUAAAGCACGCACUCCCACACUCCCAUUAUGAGUUUCUUUACUUGUACACAGGGCAAAAUAUGCUUAUCACAAGGUUCUUAGGCACGGGAAGUUACAGGGAAUAUUUCUGCAAAUGUUUAAUGUCAUUUUGAUUGGUUUGUGGCAGUCGUUCAACUCCCUUGAGCAUUCUUGAAGUUUCCAGAGUUUUCACUAAUGAGUCUAGAAAGGAAAUUUUGUUGAAUUCCCAAUCGAUUUUUGAAGAUUUCUUCAAUUCAAUUUCCAAUUAAAUCCCAGAGCGGGUAUUUAUACAGAGUAUUGAAAAGUCACUUAAGUCUGCAUAAAAUGCAGUUUAAAUACAGUUAAAUAGUAUUGGAUAUGAUCGGUUUGUGGCAGGUUAGGAAACAAAACUGAACAGACGAUUGUCUGGAUGUACAGGUCUGGUGGUCAGCGUCUGCUUGACCUUUGCCUGUAGUUCCCCUGGGGACAGCGGACGGUUGCCUAAAAACGCAGAGUUGGCAGAAGCGAGCGGCGCGCGGGCCCAGGUUGGGGUGUCUUCCAACGAAGACACUUGACGUAGCUGAAAGAUUUUAUCAAUCAGUUGCAUUCUCUGCAAAAUUGCAAUAAGAGCGCCUGCUAUAGAGAACAAUAUCUUAUGGCACUUACGUGAUCUUGCUCUUUUCCUCUGACUCGUAGAGGUCCCUCAGCGUGUCCGCUCUGUAUUUGCCAAAGCCAACAAGGGUCGCUCCCUCCUGGCCGGGCUGGCUGGCCAGGGACCGCGCUUCCUUCUGCGCUUUGUGGAACCUGACUAACUCCACAAAGUCAGGGUAGACGCAGGCGUAACGGGUGAGAGCGUCCUUGUUGGCCAUCUGAGGCCCCUCGGACGCCAUCCACCUGGUGCCCAUGCACCAGGUGGAUGGCGUAGCCCACGUCAUUCCCAGUAGCCAGCGGAAGGUCUGACCCUGGUACUUGCCAAACUCCAUGGUGCAUUGGCUCAGAAUCAGUUUGGCGUCCCCCGGAGAUGAUUGAUGGAAUUACAGCACGCAGUCCCACACUCCCAUGAUGAGUUUCUUUACUUGUACACAGGGCAAAAUGUGCUUAUCACAAGGUUCUUAGGCACGGGAAGUUACAGGGAAUAUUUCUGCAAAUGUUUAAUGUCAUUUUGAUUGGUUUGUGGCAGUCGUUCAACUCCCUUGAGCAUUCUUGAAGUUUCCACUUCAAGUUUUCACUAAAGAGUCCAGAAAGGAAAUUUUGUUGAAUUCCCAAUCAAUUUUUGAAGAUUUCUUCAAUUCAAUUUCCAAUUAAAUCCCAGAGCGGGUAUUUAUACAGAGUAUUGAAAAGUCACUUAAGUCUGCAUAAAAUGCAGUUUAAAUACAGUUAAAUAGUAUUGGAUAUGAUCGGUUUGUGGCAGGUUAGGAAACACAACUGAACAGAAGAUUGUCUGGAUGUACAGGUCUGGCGGUCAGCGUCUGCUUGACCUUUGCCUGUAGUUCCCUUGGGGACAGCGGACGGUUGCCUAAAAACGCAGAGAUGGCAGAACGAGUGAAGCGGGGCGCACGGGCCGGUCUGAGUCCCAGGUUGGGGUGUCUUCCGACGAAGCCACUUGACGUAGCUGAAAGAUUUUAUCAAUCAGUUGCAUUCUCUGCAAAAUUGCAAUAAGAGCGCCUGCUAUAGAAAACAGUAUCUUAUGGCACUUACGUGAUCUUGCUCUUUUCCUCUGACUCGUAGAGGUCCCUCAGCGUGUCCGAUUUGUAUUUUCCAAAGCCAACAAGGCUCGCUCCCUCCUGGCCGGGCUGGCUGGCCAGGGACCGCGCUUCCUCCUGCUCUUUGUGGAACCUGACUAACUCCACAAAGUCAGGGUAGACGCAGGCGUAACGGGUGAGAGCGUCCUUGUUGGCCAUCUGAGACCCCUCGGACACGCUGGUCUCCCGCUCCCUAUGGUGCCGAUGCACCAAGUGAACGGCGUAGCCCACGUCAUUCCCAGUAGCCAGCGGAAGGUCUGACCCUGGUACUUGCCAAACUCCACGGUGCAUUGGCUCAGCACCAGUCUGGCGUUCCCAGGGUCGCCUCCCGUGGACCCGCGCCUCCGCCUCCACCUCCUCUGGCUUCCUCGCCCUGAAUGGGGCUCUGCCUCCAGAGGCACCUGGGGCCGAGAGCCUCAGCCCCUCUGAUGAAGGUUUCAGGAUGAGACUCCCUGAAGGAAGUCUCCUAAAGAUCGGAUUUUCCCUGAUUGAUGGAAAAGGUGUUAAUUAAUACCUGACCUGGUCAGACCCUGGUACUUUCCAAACUCUGCGGUGCUGUGGCUCAGAAUCAGUUUGGCGUCCCCCGGAGACGAUUGAUGGAAUUAAAGCACGCACUCCCACACUCCCAUGAUGAGUUUCUUUACUUGUACACAGGGCAAAAUAUGCUUAUCACAAGGUUCUUAGGCACGGGAAGUUACAGGGAAUAUUUCUGCAAAUGUUUAAUGUCAUUUUGAUUGGUCUGUGGCAGUCGUUCAACUCCCUUGAGCAUUCUUGAAGUUUCCAGAGUUUUCACUAAAGAGUCUAGAAAGGAAAUUUUGUUGAAUUCCCAAUCGAUUUUUGAAGAUUUCUUCAAUUCAAUUUCCAAUUAAAUCCCAGAGCGGGUAUUCAUACAGAGUAUUGAAAAGUCACUUAAGUCUGCAUAAAAUGCAGUUUAAAUACAGUUAAAUAGUAUUCACAUUUAAAAUGCUAUUUAAUGUGCUUGAAGUAUUUCCAAAUGAAUGGACCCCAAAUAAUAAUGCUUUUUUUUAAUUUAAAGUUUUCAAAUACUUAAAGUACUACAGCUGUUUUUCAAAUGUUCUUUUUCCAAAUGCCUUGGAUGAAGUAGAAUUUAAGGCCACUGGGUGCGUUUGAAUGCUUUUGCAGAAAACUGAUAAGUAACAGAAAUUUGUGUUCUUUGAUUUGAGAUGUUAGUUGUGACCUUUUUCCAUUUAAAAAGCUGCUGAGUAAUUUUAGGAGAUAAAUGGUUGUCUGCUAUUGAUGUGCGACUUGGCUGUUUUUAUCCUCUGUUGAAUGAUGCAAAUGUUAAAUUGUGUACACCACCGUGCGUGCAUAUUUUAAAUAAAACUUGAAAUGAAACUUAA